AAUCAACGCUGGCGGCGUGCCUCAGACAUGCAAGUCGAACGAUUAAAGCUCCCUUCGGGGAGUGCAUAAAGUGGCGCACGGGUGAGUAACACGUAAGUAAUCUACCCUCGGGUGGGGAAUAACAUCGGGAAACCGAUGCUAAUACCGCAUAAUGCAGCGGCACCGCAAGGUGACAGUUGUUAAAGAUUUAUUGCCUGGGGAGGAGCUUGCGGCAGAUUAGCUUGUUGGUAAGGAACGGCUUACCAAGGCUACGAUCUGUAUCCGGUCUAAGAGGACGGUCGGACACACUGACACUGAAUAACGGGUCAGACUCCUACGGGAGGCAGCAGUCGGGAAUUUUGGGCAAUGGGGGAAACCCUGACCCAGCAACGCCGCGUGAAGGAUGAAGUAUUUCGGUAUGUAAACUUCGAAAGAAUAGGAAGAAUUAAUGACGGUACUAUUUAUAAGGUCCGGCUAACUACGUGCCAGCAGCCGCCGCUGUAAU
rnacentral:rRNA from 1 species